rnacentral:rRNA from 1 species
GAUGAACGCUGGCGGCGUGCUUAACACAUGCAAGUCGAACGGAAAGGCUCCUGCUUGCAGGGGUACUCGAGUGGCGAACGGGUGAGUAACACGUGGGUGAUCUGCCCUGCACUUCGGGAUAAGCCUGGGAAACUGGGUCUAAUACCGGAUAGGACGAUGGUUUGGAUGCCAUUGUGGAAAGUUUUUCGGUGUGGGAUGAGCUCGCGGCCUAUCAGCUUGUUGGUGGGGUAAUGGCCUACCAAGGCGUCGACGGGUAGCCGGCCUGGGAGGGUGUACGGCCACAUUGGGACUGAGAUACGGCCCAGACUCCUACGGGAGGCAGCAGUGGGGAAUAUUGCACAAUGGGCGCAAGCCUGAUGCAGCGACGCCGCGUGGGGGAUGACGGCCUUCGGGUUGUAAACUCCUUUCGCUAGGGACGAAGCGCAAGUGACGGUACCUGGAGAAGAAGCACCGGCUAACUACGUG